CUUCACUGAACCCAGCCACAACGGCUGCCCGUCGCGACGUUCCUGGCCAUAGGUGGCCAGCAGCGCCUGCGCCUC
rnacentral:antisense_RNA from 1 species